AGUGAACGCUGGCGGUAGGCCUAACACAUGCAGGUCGAACGGCAGCACAGUAAGAGCUUGCUCUUACGGGUGGCGAGUGGCGGACGGGUGAGGAAUACAUCGGAAUCUACUUUUUCGUGGGGGAUAACGUAGGGAAACUUACGCUAAUACCGCAUACGACCUACGGGUGAAAGCAGGGGAUCUUCGGACCUUGCGCGAUUGAAUGAGCCGAUGUCGGAUUAGCUAGUUGGCGGGGUAAAGGCCCACCAAGGCGACGAUCCGUAGCUGGUCUGAGAGGAUGAUCAGCCACACUGGAACUGAGACACGGUCCAGACUCCUACGGGAGGCAGCAGUGAGGAAUAUUGGACAAUGGGCGCAAGCCUGAUCCAGCCAUACCGCGUGGGUGAAGAAGGUCUUCGGGUUGUAAAGCCCUUUUGUUGGGAAAGAAAAGCAGCAGGUUAAUACCCCGCUGUUCUGACGGUACCCAAAGAAUAAGCACCGGCUAACUUCGUG
rnacentral:rRNA from 1 species